CUUACUUCAGACUCUUGGGGAAUGAUGUUUGGUAAGGGAAUUUCUUCUCUUCUUUGUAACUGGUUUUUAGGUGUGGUUACUGUGUCGUUGUUUGCUAUUGGCAGUGGUGUGUCAUAGUAAUCUGGUUUAGGGUAUUUUGUUUGGUAUGGAAAAAUAUGUUCAUGAAAUAUGACAUCCCUUGACAAAAUCGUUUUUUUGUUUGUUAUAUCAUAUAAUUUGUAGGCAUUUGCAUCAGGUGCAUACCCUAAGAAAACACAUUUUAAAGCCCUAGGUUCAAACUUGUCUUUUUGAGGAUUAACAUUUGUAGUAAAACAUAGAUAACUGAAGACUUUUAGCUUUGAGUAAUCUGGCUGCUUUUUGUACAGAACUUCAUAAGGAGUUUUUCAUUUUAAAAUAGAGCUUGACAAAACGUUUAUUAUGUGUGUGGCUGUGAGUACGACUUCAUCCUAAAAACUUUUUGGUAAUUUUAAUUCAAACAUCAAUGCCCUAUUAAUUUGUAAUAGGUGUUUAUGUUUCCUCUCCACCACAUCAUUUUACUAUGGUGUGUAUGUACAGGAUUUUUUAUGCAUGAUUCUUUUUCUUGAAAUUUUUUUUACAUAAAGUGUUUAUGAACUCAGUGCCAUUGUCUGUCAUAACUGUUUUGAUUAUUUUCUGAAAUUGGUUUUGUGUUAGAUUGUAAAAAUAUUUCAAGGUAUUUUGUAUACUCAUUUUCUCUUUUAAUAAAUAAGUUUAAGCGGUUCUUGAGAAAUCAUCAACUAUAGUUAAAAAAUAAAGUGCACCAGAGAUACAAUUAACUAGGUAUGGUCCCAAAGGUCAACAUAUAUUAAACUAAAAAUGCCACUGGUAUUGAUAAAAUUUUUAGAAAAAGACAAGUGUUACUGUUUUACCAAUGGGCAUAUUUCACAAUCAUGUAGAGCUGCACUGGUAACUUUAGAUUGGGAAUGUGGAUCAAUUUUUGUGUGGAUGUGUGGUCGAGUCUUUUGUGCCAUAGUUGUAGGUUAUUUUCUUGGGUGUGGCUAAUGCAUGCUUUGAUAGGGUCAAUGUCUUCAUUCAUGGUGUACAGGCCCUUCAUUAUUGUUCCCUUCCUCAAUAUUUUGUUAGUUGUCAAAUCCUGUACAAAAUAAUGGUUGGGAUAAAAGGAAAUGUAGGUAUUUGAAGCUUGGGUUAGUUUUCUGACAGAAAUAAGGUUACAAGUGAAUUUUGGUAUAUAGAGGACAUCAUGUAGAAUUAAAUUGUCACACAGCUUUAUGGUUCUUUUGUGGGUUGAAUGACUCAUGGUUCCGUCUAGUAGCGAGACAAGAACUGCAGGUUCUAGUUUUAUGGGUUUUGAAAGCAUUUUGAAAUCAUGGCAUAUGUGUGAUAUGACACCUGUGUCUAUUAUUCAAGUUCCUAUAUCAUUAAAGACAUGUAAAAAACAACAUUUAAGUUACUUACCAGGGGGGGCAGAGUAGCCCACGCACCCUGUCGAUUAUGCUGUGUUUGUUCCUUAGUUUUUCAUGUAUUUGCUGAUCUCUUGUUGUAUGAGUGUGGCUAUUUUUGUGCCCUAGUUUGUGUUGAAUGCUUCUGUUUUGGUGCUAUCAGGGGCAUUGUUUGCCACUGCAUUGGCCUUUUCUUUAUUCCUUUUCCCUUUGAGUUUUGUAAACCAUUCUAGGUAGCCAUGGAGCUUGAAGCAUGUGUCCUUCGUGUGCCCUGAGUUUUUGCAAUAAGUGCAUAUCCUACUGUCCUUUUCUUUUUUUCGGUUUGAGAAUUUUAGAUUGUCUUUCAGGUUGGUGUAAAAUGCAGUAGGUGUCCCUUUAGGUGAGUUGUUAUUAUGUACUUCUUUUUAUUUUUCAACACUAAUCACCAUGGAAUAAGCUCUAUUCACACCGGGUAAGGGAUCCAUGAUCAAUAUUUGGUUUCUAACAUGGUCGUAUGAGUCAUUAAGACCCAUUAGAAAUUAGAUCAAGUUGUCGGUAUUGUCUAUUUCACUAUGUUGUGUUGCAGCAUGGCAGGUGCAAGUAGGUAAAGGCCUUAGGUGUGUUAAUUCAUCCCUUAGCCUUUUGAGUUUUAUAUAAUAGGCUAUGACAGAAAGGUUAUAUUGCGUGAUAGAACUUAUUUUGCAUUUUAGUUGAUAUAACAUAGGUCCGUUACUUUCACCAUACCUUUCUUUUAUUUCAUCCCACAAGUUUUUUGCUGAUGUGGUGAAUAGGAAGGCGCUAGCGAGCUCUUUAUUCAUCGAGUUCAGAAUCCAAGACACCACCAUGCUGUUUGUUUUGUGUCAUUCUUCAUAUCCUACUGCAUCGGGUUCGGGCUUCUUGCAUCUGCCAUCGACGAGGGCGAGGUUGUCAUUGGCUCUCAAUGCAAUCACCAUGGCUCGGCUCUAAGACAAGUAGUUGGAGCCAUCAAGUGUCAACACGUCUGUAUUAGGGUUUGCCAUUGAGCAGUAUGGUAAUAUGGUAAGGUAGAAAUUAGGAGAAUCAGUGCUUAUUACAGGCAUUGUUCUCAUACCAUGUAAAAAGCUCAACUGGGUAAAAUAGAGAGCAUUUAAAGCUCAUUAAUUUUCUGAUGUAUAUUUAUUGAAUGGUACCUUAGGAAUAUAUAUAUAUACAGGGGAAUAAAUGAAAAGAUGAUGAGGAUGGUCUCUAGAAUCUUUAGAGACCACCAGCAGUCCUCAACAUUUUAAACAGAAAAGAAAGAUCUAGACCCUUCAUUUUAGGGUUUUGAUCUGGGCGGUCCACCUGCCCGUUUCUUUCAGUUUUUUUAUUUUUAUCUUAGAUUCUUUUUAAGAUUUAAUCUCAAACA
rnacentral:lncRNA from 1 species